rnacentral:rRNA from 1 species
GAUGAACGCUGGCGGCGUGCCUAAUACAUGCAAGUCGAGCGAACGGACGAGAAGCUUGCUUCUCUGAUGUUAGCGGCGGACGGGUGAGUAACACGUGGAUAACCUACCUAUAAGACUGGGAUAACUUCGGGAAACCGGAGCUAAUACCGGAUGAUAUUUUGAACCGCAUGGUUCAAAAGUGAAAGACGGUCUUGCUGUCACUUAUAGAUGGAUCCGCGCUGCAUUAGCUAGUUGGUAAGGUAAUGGCUUACCAAGGCAACGAUGCAUAGCCGACCUGAGAGGGUGAUCGGCCACACUGAAACUGAGACGCGGUCCAGACUCCUACGGGAGGCAGCAGUAGGGAAUCUUCCGCAAUGGGCGAAAGCCUGACGGAGCAACGCCGCGUGAGUGAUGAAGGUCUUCGGAUCGUAAAACUCUGUUAUUAGGGAAGAACAUAUGUGUAAGUAACUGUGCACAUCUUGACGGUACCUAAUCAGAAAGCCACGGCUAACUACGUG